rnacentral:rRNA from 1 species
UACGUAGGGUGCGAGCGUUAAUCGGAAUUACUGGGCGUAAAGCGUGCGCAGGCGGUUUUAUAAGACAGGCGUGAAAAUCCCGGGGUCAACCUGGGAAUGGCUCUUGUGAAUGCAAAGCUGGAGUGCGGCAGAGGGGGAUGGAAUUGCCCGUGUAGCAGUGAAAUGCGUAGAUAUGCGGAGGAACACCGAUGGCGAAGGCAAUCCCCUGGGCCUGCACUGAAGCUCAUGCACGAAAGCGUGGGGAGCAAACAGG